AGUGUUCAGUGAAGGAAUGGUCGAUGAUGGUUUCCAAGACGCUGUCAACAUUGAUAUAUCCUCAAUAGUGAUUGAACCAUGCAAAAGAAAUACCAAGAUCUUCCAGAACUGAAAUAAAUUGAGUACUGGCCACCAGUUACAAACAGGGUACCUGCUCCUGUAUCAACUCAACUAGUGAGAAGAUAUUAAAAUGGAUAUUCGAGAUAUGAGUGACUUUGAGUCAGGUUACAUUGAUGCUGUCA